AAGUCUGGAUUUUCAGAAAUCAGGCCUACAGCUUUUCAGUAGAGAAGUUUCUCCCUAUGUGUAGGAGGAAUUGAAGCGUGUGUGCCUAGCAUGAGGCUGGCUCUUGGUGUUGCUUCAAAACAACUGCCACUUGUCAUUGGUGCUCAUUCUUUUUUACUUUGGGAGGGUCAGGGGGAGAAAAUGAAGCCUGAGUGGU
rnacentral:snoRNA from 1 species